AAAGCUCAAAUUUGAAAUCUGGCGUCUUCGGCGUCCGAAUUGUAAUUUGGAGGGGCAUCUUCGGAGAUGGCGCCGUCCUAAGUUCCUUGGAACAGGACGUCAUAGAGGGUGAGAAUCCCGUGCCUGGGCGGCUGUCCGUCUCCAUGUGAAGUGUCUCCGACGAGUCGAGUUGUUUGGGAAUGCAGCUCAAAAUGGGUGGUAAAUUUCAUCUAAAGCUAAAUAUUGGCGAGAGACCGAUAGCGCACAAGUAGAGUGAUCGAAAGAUGAAAAGCACUUUGAAAAGAGAGUUAAAAAGUACGUGAAAUUGUUGAAAGGGAAGCGCUUGAGAUCAGACUCGACCUUAGGUGAUCAGCUGGGCUUCGGCUCGGUGCACUUGCCUUUGGUUGGGCCAGCAUCGGUUCUGACGGCGGGAUAAAAGGCGGAGGAAUGUGGCUCCCCUCGGGGAGUGUUAUAGCCUCUGUCACAAUGCCGCCAGUUGGGACCGAGGACCGCGCUUCGGCUAGGAUGCUGGCGUAAUGGUCUUAAGCGACCCGUCUUGAAACACGGACCAAGGAGUCUAACAUCUAUGCGAGUGUUCGGGUGGAAAACCCUUGCGCGUAAUGAAAGUGAACGGAGGUGGGAACCCCUCGGGGUGCACCAUCGACCGAUCCUGAUGUCUUCGGAAGGAUUUGAGUAAGAGCAUAGCUGUUGGGACCCGAAAGAUGGUGAACUAUGCCUGAAUAGGGUGAAGCCA
rnacentral:rRNA from 1 species